UACCCUGUGGACUCGAAUUUGU
rnacentral:miRNA from 1 species